rnacentral:rRNA from 1 species
UGGGUGAUCUGCCCUGCACUUUGGGAUAAGCCUGUUAAACUGGGUCUAAUACCGAAUAUGACCAUGCGCCUCCUGGUGUGUGGUGGAAAGCUUUUGCGGNNNNNGAUGGGCCCGCGGCCUAUCAGCUUGUUGGUGGGGUAAUGGCCUACCAAGGCGACGACGGGUAGCCGGCCUGAGAGGGUGACCGGCCACACUGGGACUGAGAUACGGCCCAGACUCCUACGGGAGGCAGCAGUGGGGAAUAUUGCACAAUGGGCGCAAGCCUGAUGCAGCGACGCCGCGUGAGGGAUGACGGCCUUCGGGUUGUAAACCUCUUUCAGCACAGACGAAGCGCAAGUGACGGUAUGUGCAGAAGAAGGACCGGCCAACUACGUGCCAGCAGCCGCGGUAAUACGUAGGGNCCGAGCGUUGUCCGGAAUUACUGGGCGUAAAGAGCUCGUAGGUGGUUUGUCGCGUUGUUCGUGAAAACUCACAGCUUAACUGUGGGCGUGCGGGCGAUACGGGCAGACUUGAGUACUGCAGGGGAGACUGGAAUUCCUGGUGUAGCGGUGGAAUGCGCAGAUAUCAGGAGGAACACCGGUGGCGAAGGCGGGUCUCUGGGCAGUAACUGACGCUGAGGAGCGAAAGCGUGGGGAGCGAACAGGAUUAGAUACCCUGGUAGUCCACGCCGUAAACGGUGGGUACUAGGUGUGGGUUUCCUUCCUUGGGAUCCGUGCCGUAGCUAACGCAUUAAGUACCCCGCCUGGGGAGUACGGCCGCAAGGCUAAAACUCAAAGAAAUUGACGGGGGCC